rnacentral:rRNA from 1 species
AGAGUUUGAUCCUGGCUCAGGACGAACGCUGGCGGCGUGCCUAAUACAUGCAAGUUGAGCGCUGAAGGUUUUUCCGGGGUACUUGUACCAACUGGAUGAGCAGCGAACGGGUGAGUAACGCGUGGGGAAUCUGCCUUUGAGCGGGGGUUAAGGGACAACAUUUGGAAACGAAUGCUAAUACCGCAUAAAAACUUUAAACACAAGUUUUAAGUUUGAAAGAUGCAAUUGCAUCACUCAAAGAUGAUCCCGCGUUGUAUUAGCUAGUUGGUGAGGUAAAGGCUCACCAAGGCGAUGAUACAUAGCCGACCUGAGAGGGUGAUCGGCCACAUUGGGACUGAGACACGGCCCAAACUCCUACGGGAGGCAGCAGUAGGGAAUCUUCGGCAAUGGACGAAAGUCUGACCGAGCAACGCCGCCGUGAGUGAAGAAGGUUUUCGGAUCGUAAAACUCUGUUGGUAGAGAAGAACGUUGGUGAGAGUGGAAAGCUCAUCAAGUGACGGUAACUACCCAGAAAGGGACGGCUAACUACGUGCCAGCAGCCGCGGUAAUACGUAGGUCCCGAGCGUUUUAUUGGGCGUAAAGCGAGCGCAGGUGGUUUAUUAAGUCUGGUGUAAAAGGCAGUGGCUCAACCAUUGUCAUUGGAAACUGGUAGACUUGAGUGCAGGAGAGGAGAGUGGAAUUCCAUGUGUAGCGGUGAAAUGCGAGAUAUAUGGAGGAACACCGGUGGCGAAAGCGGCUCUCUGGCCUGUAACUGACACUGAGGCUCGAAAGCGUGGGGAGCCAAACAGGAUUAGAUACCCUGGUAGUCCACGCCGUAAACCGAUGAGUGCUAGAUGUAUGGAGCUAUAAGUUCUCUGUAUCGCAGCUAACGCAAUAAGCACUCCGCCUGGGGAGUACGACCGCAAGGUUGAAACUCAAAGGAAUUGACGGGGGCCCGCACAAGCGGUGGAGCAUGUGGUUUAAUUCGAAGCAACGAAGAACUUACCAGGUCUUGACAUACUCGUGCUAUUCCUAGAGAUAGGAAGUUCCUUCGGGACACGGGAUACAGGUGGUGCAUGGUUGUCGUCAGCUCGUGUCGUGAGAUGUUGGGUUAAGUCCCGCAACGAGCGCAACCCCUAUUGUUAGUUGCCAUCAUUAAGUUGGGCACUCUAACGAGACUGCCGGUGAUAAACCGGAGGAAGGUGGGGAUGACGUCAAAUCAUCAUGCCCCUUAUGACCUGGGCUACACACGUGCUACAAUGGAUGGUACAACGAGUCGCGAGACAGUGAUGUUUAGCUAAUCUCUUAAAACCAUUCUCAGUUCGGAUUGUAGGCUGCAACUCGCCUACAUGAAGUCGGAAUCGCUAGUAAUCGCGGAUCAGCAUGCCGCGGUGAAUACGUUCCCGGGCCUUGUACACACCGCCCGUCACACCACGGGAGUUGGGAGUACCCGAAGUAGGUUGCCUAACCGCAAGGAGGGCGCUUCCUAAGACCGAUGACUGGGGUGAAGUCGUAACAAGG